CCCUAAGUGGGCUCCCCAGCCCAGCAGAUAAGCGUUCGUUGUCAACCAGAUAGGUCAGCAUUUGAAAAGGAUCCCCUUCCAAAAGAUUCUUGUUGGUCGACCACCAGGAUGCCAUGAGUCCUAGGAGUCUUUGAAUGAAUUGAGCCAGCUGAGACGGAUGCUGUUGGAAGUGGAGAACCAGAUCCCUGAUACACUUGAAGCAUUCCUGAGAUUAGUAGAGUGAAGCCAGGCGUGUCUCUGCAAGAAGACCACAGCAGUCAGAGAACGUGAUUCUGAUUCGGCUAGAUGUUUCGCCGUACUCAAUUGUUGAUGAACUCACAAAGACUUAUCCAAUGAGAAGUGACAGUCCAAGGUCUGAACGCAACAGAGGUCGGAAAAGAACUGAAGAACAGGGCGCCUUGUAAAUAGCACACUGAAGGCAUGGCGGCAGGCCUCGGUCACCCUGAGGAGCUGAGGCAUUCUACCACGAGGGUCCUGCGCAGAUGAAGUACCCAUUCUUAUGGAUCAAGAUCCAUAUCUGAUAGUUACAGGUAGCAAAUAAUGUUAAAACUAAUAGGUGCUUAACAUGACAACUUGGUGUCAGACACAGGGCAGUUGUAUACAAAAUCUGUUUUACAUGGUAAGGCAGUACACUCCAUUGUGUAAGUUAGGAGGCUGCCUUAUGCUA